GACAGAGGUCUCAAGCGUUGUUCGGAUUCAUUGGGCGUAAAGGGUGCGUAGGCGGCGGGGCAAGUCAGGUGUGAAAUCUCGGGGCUCAACUCCGAAACUGCAUUUGAUACUGCCUUGCUAGAGUACUGGAGAGGAGAUUGGAAUUUACGGUGUAGCAGUGAAAUGCGUAGAUAUCGUAAGGAAGACCAGUGGCGAAGGCGAAUCUCUGGACAGUUACUGACGCUGAGGCACGAAGGCCAGGGGAGCAAACGGG
rnacentral:rRNA from 1 species